UACGUAGGGGGCGAGCGUUGUCCGGAUUCAUUGGGCGUAAAGAGCUCGUAGGCGGCUUGUCAAGUCGGGUGUGAAACCUCCAGGCUCAACCUGGAGACGCCACUCGAGACUGUCAUGGCUAGAGUCCGGUAGGGGAUCACGGAAUUCCUGGUGUAGCGGUGAAAUGCGCAGAUAUCAGGAGGAACACCAAUUGCGAAGGCAGCUCGCUGGGACGUUACUGACGCUGAGACGCGAAAGCGUGGGGAGCAAACAGG
rnacentral:rRNA from 1 species